GAAGGGGGUAAGGCGAAUUGGUAGGGCAUAUGGCUACCAACCUGAAGGUUGUGGGUUCAAUUCCCACCCUUCA